GGGGAAUAUUGGACAAUGGGGGGAACCUGAUCCCGCCAAGCCGCGGGUGUGAAGAAGGCCUUAUGGUUUGAAAGCACUUUAAGGGAGGGGGAGGGUCUUUUGGUUAAUUCCCAAGAUGAGUGGACGUUACUAGCAGCAUAAAGCCCCGUUACACCCGUUCCAGCAGCCGCGGUAAUAAAGAGGUGCGAGCGUUAAUCGGAUUUACUGGGCGUAAAGCGUGCGUAGGCGGCUUUUUAAGUCGGAUGUGAAAUCCCCGAGCUUAACUUGGGAAUUGCAUUCGAUACUGGGAAGCUAGAGUAUGGGAGAGGAUGGUAGAAUUCCAGGUGUAGCGGUGAAAUGCGUAGAGAUCUGGAGGAAUACCGAUGGCGAAGGCAGCCAUCUGGCCUAAUACUGACGCUGAGGUACGAAAGCAUGGGGAGCAAACA
rnacentral:rRNA from 1 species